GCCGAUUUAGCUCAGUUGGUAGAGCAUUACAUUCGUAACGUAAAGGUCUCGAGUUCGAUCCUCGAAAUCGGCU
rnacentral:tRNA from 1 species